rnacentral:rRNA from 1 species
GUCUAAGGCCAUGCUACCCAGAACAAGCCCGAUCCCGUCUGAUCCCGGAAGCUAAGCAGGGUCGGGCCUGGUUAGUACUUGGAUGGGAGACCACCUAGGAAGACCAGGUGCUGUAGGCA